CCGCCUGCCUGCCUGCCUGCCUGCCUCGCUCGCUUGCUCCCUGAACGAGAGACAGACAGAGAAAAUCCCUGUCUAGGCAUGGACCCCCGGCUGCAGCAGCGUGCCGCUCGCGAGGAAUGACAGCAGUUCACGUGGUCAUUAACUCCACUCGCUGAGGCUGAAGGGAAACGCUGCGGCGGGGCUCGGUGUCACUGAAGCGCCGGGCGGCUCCUGAGUUCAAGACGGCAGACAGACAGAGAGGCACGCAGCAGAGCUACGGGACCCAGCGGAACGAGGACACUGGACGGACACAGAAGGCCGUCAACAGGACGAGGCCGGGAGCACAUGCACAACCCCCCUCCACCUCCUCCCCCACCCCUCGAAUGUAAAGGGACAGGCCGAUGCCAAUAAGCUGGCGUCUAAUUUGGACGGUGUGAGACCCAUCACUGACUGAAAAGUGCCUUGUGAGACAACGUCAUACUGAAGGGUUCCGGGGGACGUUUCUUUUGUCCCGUGACAACCCCCGACCUGUUUUUUUUUUUUUUGUCCUCACCUGAGUUCAGUGUGAAGAAAGCGAAGCGGUGGAGCUGCC
ensembl:lncRNA